ACUCCGUCCUAAAAUAAGUUUUUUUAUACAAUCUUUUACUCUUCGUCUUAUUUAAAAUUUUAUUAUGAUUAAUAUUUUUAUUUUUAUUAGAUGAUAAAACAUUAAUAAUAUUUUAUGCGUGACUAAUUUUUUUAAAAUUUUAUAUAAAUUUUUCAAAUAAGACGGAUAAUCAGCAUUCGACACAGAAAUCGA
rnacentral:pre_miRNA from 1 species